UGCCCGGGGCCCUCGGGCCAGCGCCCAGGCUCUGGCUCCGUGUCUUCACUCCCGUGUUUGUCCGAGGAGGGAGGGAGGGACGGGGGCUGUGCUGGGGCCGCUGGAAUAGCACAGGCCGCCGGG
rnacentral:pre_miRNA from 14 species